rnacentral:rRNA from 1 species
CGCCCAGACUCCUACGGGAGGCAGCAGUGGGGAAUAUUGCACAAUGGGGGAAACCCUGAUGCAGCGACGCCGCGUGAGUGAAGAAGUAAUUCGUUAUGUAAAGCUCUAUCAGCAGGGAAGAAAAUGACGGUACCUGAGUAAGAAGCCCCGGCUAACUACGUGCCAGCAGCCGCGGUAAUACGUAGGGGGCAAGCGUUAUCCGGAUUUACUGGGUGUAAAGGGAGCGUAGGCGGUGAUGCAAGUCAGAAGUGAAAGCCCGCGGCUCAACUGCGGGACUGCUUUUGAAACUGUAUGACUAGAUUGCAGGAGAGGUAAGUGGAAUUCCUAGUGUAGCGGUGAAAUGCGUAGAUAUUAGGAGGAACACCAGUGGCGAAGGCGGCCUGCUGGACGACAACUGACGGUGAGGCGCGAAAGCGUGGGGAGCAAACAGGAUUAGAUACCCCCGUA